rnacentral:ncRNA from 1 species
CGUGUGAAUCUGCCAAGACCACUUGGUAAGCCUAAAUACUACCUGGUGACCGAUAGCGGACAAGUACCGUGAGGGAAAGGUGAAAAGUACCCCGGGAGGGGAGUGAAAUAGUACCUGAAACCGGAUGCUUACAAUCCGUCGGAGCCUCCAUUGCUGGGGUGACGGCGUGCCUUUUGAAGAAUGAGCCUGCGAGUUAGUGGCAUGUGGCGAGGUUAACCCGGGUGGGGAAGCCGUAGCGAAAGCGAGUCCGAACAGGGCGCACCAGUCGCGUGCUCUAGACCCGAAGCGGAGUGAUCUACCCAUGGGCAGGUUGAAGCACGUGUAAGAGCGUGUGGAGGACCGAACCCACUUAGGUUGAAAACUGAGGGGAUGACCUGUGGGUAGGGGUGAAAGGCCAAUCAAACUCCGUGAUAGCUGGUUCUCCCCGAAAUGCAUUUAGGUGCAGCGUCAUGUGUUUCUUGCCGGAGGUAGAGCUACUGGAUGGCCGAUGGGCCCUACAAGGUUACUGACGUCAACCAAAA